CUGCCAGUAGUCAUAUGCUUGUCUCAAAGAUUAAGCCAUGCAUGUCUAAGUACAUGCCGAAACAAGGCGAAACCGCGAAUGGCUCAUUAAAUCAGUUAUGGUUCCUUAGAUCGUUUCUUCCUACUUGGAUAACUGUGGCAAUUCUAGAGCUAAUACAUGCAGUGAGCCCGAAGCCCCUCGGGGCGACGGGUGCUUUUAUUAGACCAAGAUCAAUCGGGCUUCGGUCCGUUUUGUGUGGUGACUCUGGAUAACUUUGUGCUGAUCGCACGGCCACGAGCCGGCGACGUUUCUUUCAAGUGUCUGCCUUAUCAACUGUCGAUGGUAGGUUAUGCGCCUACCAUGGUUGUUACGGGUAACGGAGAAUCAGGGUUCGAUUCCGGAGAGGGAGCCUGAGAAACGGCUACCACAUCCAAGGAAGGC
rnacentral:rRNA from 1 species